rnacentral:rRNA from 1 species
UACAGAGGUGGCAAGCGUUGUUCGGAAUUAUUGGGCGUAAAGGGCGCGUAGGCGGUCUUUUACGUCUUGUGUGAAAUCCCUCGGCUCAACUGAGGAACUGCACGGGAUACUGGAAGACUUGAGUUCGGGAGAGGGAAGCGGAAUUCCGGGUGUAGCGGUGAAAUGCGUAGAUAUCCGGAGGAACACCGGUGGCGAAGGCGGCUUCCUGGACGAGUACUGACGCUGAGACGCGAAAGCGUGGGGAGCAAACAGG